GCCUGUAGUCCCAGCUACUCGGGAGGCUGAAGCUGGAGGAUCGCUUGAGUCCAGGAGUUCUGGGAUGUAGUGUGCUAUGCUGAUUGAGUGUCCGCAUUAAGUUCGGCAUCAAUAUGGUGGCCUCCUGGGAGUGGGGAACCACCAGGUUGCCUAAGGAGGGGUGAACUGGCCCAGGUCGGAAAUGGAGCAGGUCAAAACUCCCGUGCUGAUCAGUAGUGGGAUCGAGCCUGUGAAUAGCCACUGCACUCCAGCCUGGGCAACAUAGCAAGACCCUGUCUCU
rnacentral:SRP_RNA from 1 species